GACGAACGCUGGCGGCGUGCUUAACACAUGCAAGUCGAACGGAAAGGCCUGCUUUCCCUGGUGGAUUGCGGGUACUCGAGUGGCUAACGGGUGAGUAACACGUGAGUGAUCUGCCGCCAACUUGGGUAUAAGCCGGGGAAACUGGGUCUAAUUCCCGAUAGGACUGGAGGGUGGUGCCUGUGGUGGAAAACGAUGUUCGAGUGGGUGGGGUUGAGCUCGCGGCCUUUCGGCUUGUUGGUGGGGUAAUGGUCUACCAAGGCGGCGACGGGGAGGCGGCCUGGGGGGGUGGGCCGCCGCAGUGGGACUGAGAUACGGGCCCGGCUACUCCGGGCGGACGCCGUGGGGAGUCAUGAGUGGUGGGCGGUGGCCUGAUGCCGCGACGCUGAGUGGGGGAUGCCGGGCUUCGGGUUGUAACCUCCUUUCGGCCGCGAGGAAGCCGCCUGGUUGGAAGGAUGGUGACGGUAGUGGUAGAAGAAGCACCGGCUAACUACGUG
rnacentral:rRNA from 1 species